CAAAGUCCUCGAGGUUCAUUCAUUCAGGAAGCCUCUGACCAGCCUUUACCAUGCGCUGAGUGAGAAGCUGAGGAUAAGGAAAGAGCAAGACCCCCAAGAAACCCUGAUGUCUGGCUGAAAGCCGAAGCAUGACGCAACUUUGCUAUAUUUCUCUCCAACAAGGAUUUGUAUAUUUUCGCUUUCUCCUCAAGUAACACCUGGACCUGCUCCUUUCCCUUCAAACGCUGAGGGCUCAGUCUCCAAGUUCCUUUAUGAAACAGGGUGUACCAUCAGAGACGCAGGUAAGAAACCUGAACUGCGUGGCCUCACAUAAACCCCACCACACCUCUGUCCUGGGCUCCUUCCCCGCAACAGGUGUAAAGACAAAAGGCUCAUUGUCCUUUGGAGCCUAUAGGAUAAACAGAAAGAACAUGUCCUUGCCGGUUAAUCUGCCGGUGAUAAAGAGUAUUGUUUUAUCUCCUGCCAUCUCCACGUUCCAAGAGAUGAAUUCUAUUGUGACACAAAGUCUGCUUUGUCCUUCCAACCCACUGAGAUGUUUAAAUUGGCCUCUCAUAUAUUCCUUGGUUGUCACAAUAAGAGCAAUGAGUUGUUAUAAUGUGUUGAGAGGAUCUUUCCCCCAUGACAAGGAGACCAUCAUCUACAGAGAUGCUAUGAUGCUGAGAAAUAAUGUGCUUCUCUUCUGCUCUAAUUUUUUUUAAUUAAGACUUUUAUUUUUUGAGCAGUUAUAGGUUUAGAGAAAAAUUGAAGGGAAAGUACAGAGAGUUCCCAUCUUCUCUCACCCCUUUCAUCUCUGUUUCCAUACGUUUGCUACAAAUGAUGAGCCAACAGCCAUACGUUAUUAACUAAAGUUCACAGUUUACAUUAGGGUUCACUCUUUGCUUGUACAUUCUAUGGGUUUUGUCAAAUAUAUGAUAACCUGUAUCCUCCAUUAUAGUACAAUACAGAAGAAUCUCACUGCCCUAAAAAUCUCCUGUGUUCCUCCUGUGCAUCCCUCCCUCCCAUCCCCUGGGGAACCACUGAUCUUUUUGCUGGCUCCAGUUUUACCUUUUUCAGAAUGUGAGGUAGUUGGGAGUCAUACAGUAUAUGUGUAUAUAUAUAUGUGUAUAUAUAUGUGUAUAUACAUAUAUAUAUACACAUAUAUAUACAUAUAUAUAUACACAUAUAUAUACAUAUAUAUAUAUAUAAAAAAUAGCCUUUUUAGAUGGAUGUCUUUCCCAUAGCAAUAUGCAUUGAACUUUCCUCCAUGACUUUGUGUGGCUCAAUAGUUCAUUUAUUUUUGUUGCUGAAUAGCUUCUGCUUAAUUUUCAAAGUGUUUAAUGUAAGAAAGCGGUAUAGUCCAGGCGCAGUGGCUCAACACCUGUAGUCCCAGCACUCUGGGAGGCGGAGGCGGUGGAUCACUUGAGCCCAGGAGUUUGAGACCAGCCUGGGUAACAUGAUAAAACCUUGUCUCCAUAAAAAAUACAAAAAUUAGCUGGAAAUGGUAGUGUGCGCUUGUAGUCCCAGCUACUCAGGAGGCUGUGGUGGGAGGAUUGCUUAAGCCCAGGAGCUAGAGCCUAUAGUGAGCCAUGAUUGUGCCACCGCACUCCAGCAUGGGUGACAGAGUGAGAUCCUGUCUCAGAAAAAAAAAAAAAACAAAAAAAAAAAAACCCAGAAACAACAACAACAAAACGGCAGUAUAUUUGUCCCCACCCUCAUCUCUUCCUUUAUGGGUAUUUCCCUAAUUGUGAGAGAUUACCUGUGUUUUAAAAGGUGGCUUACUGUAUGCAUUGAGAAAAUUAAAUGACAUUUCAGACCAGUUCCAAGUACCUUUUGCAAAGCUAGAGAAAUAAAAGUGAAUUCUAGUAUCUCAAUCACAGAGUAAAACUAGAGAAGGUCUGUUGGGCUUCAGGCAACAUUGGUGUUCUUGGCAAUUUUACCCAGAAGAAUUUAUAUUCCUAUAAUUAGUAUUUCCUCCAAAAUUAAUGAUCGCCUGAUUGAUUUAUUUCUUUCCUAGCAGCACUGGAGGUCCCACUUACCUAGUUAGUAAUAACAUUUGCUCUUAAUACAUGAGUCAGUUUUCUUUUUUCCUUUUUUCUUUUUCUUUUUUUUUUUACAUUUCCAAAACAGAAUACCCUGCAGGAAGAAUGGGAUGGCAGUGGAGGAGCUCUCACUCACAUAUCAUGUAAUGUGGGAGGCAGGGCUAUGCGAUAGUCAUAAAGGGUGCAGGCUUCAGAAUCAAAGGAGUGAGGUUGGUGUCCCUGCUUACGCCCUACUAGCUGAGUGUCCUUCAGGUCAUUUCUCCUCUCUCAGACUCAGUGGACUGUUUCCUAAAGCACAGCUCAUAACAGGCUGUACGUGGUAAGACCGUCGGGAAGAUGGAAGGAGAUCAGUCAUCCCUAGAGAGCAUUAAGCACAGUCUCAGCCACAAAACACUUCCUCAAACAUGAUGCAAGCCACACAGGGCAUUUGGCCUGCGUAUAAAGGACAUACUGAGGACAGUGUAGAUGCUCAAGAAAUUAGUCCUGAAUGAUCAAGGGGGGAAAGAGAGGGUUAAUCUUAUCAUAUGUGGGCUCUCAGAGAACACAGAGCUAUAGAAGGAAGCUGACUUAAUAAGGGUCAAGCAUGAUAGGGGAGAUUAGGAACCGUGUGCAAUCUAAUGGAACCACAGAUAACACCUUCUAGUACUUUUUCCCUUUGGCCCUGCCCCUGCUGAGACAGGGCCACUGCUAAUAACUCACAUUCUUCUCUUCUCUCCUCUCAAAAAGCCCAUUUCCUGAGCAAGUAUAUGCUUUGGUAAGGUCAUUAGCGGUCAACAUGGUUCCCAAGUUUAGUGAAUACUUUCAGAUAAAACUGAAGGGUACAAAAUCACUCUUUCCUCUCUCCCUCUCCUUGUCCUACCUCUCACAAUAAAACGACUUAUCUACUAAUUACAAAGACCUCAAUAGUGGAAGAAAUCCAUAUCCUACAUAACAUGGAGAGCUAGCUAUAUACCCUUGGCAUCAGUUUUUAUCCUACUUUUACUUUUUACUGACUUUCAUUUACUGAACAAAGCCUCCUUUGCCAAAGGCAGGGUAAAUAAACUCAGUCACAUCCUGUCUUCCUUACAUCUUUGUUUAUCCAUAAACUGUCGAAGAUACAGAUGAAAAUCCACUAAAGCAUGCUUGAAGCGGUUACACGAAGGCCAAAUAAGAUGGGAAUGGAAAUGCCUGAUGUUAAGGGAAGAUACUACCUAAAAUGAUACUGAGCUGGCCAGUGUAAUGACAUGAAAACAAAACAAAAAAAGGUAUUUAUUGAAACCUGCUUUGUGCUGGGCAAUGUGCCAGAUGUUGGGGAUAAAAUGGUGAGCCAAGCUGGAGUGCAAUGGUGAGAUCUUGGCCUUCCACAACCUCCACCUCCCGGGUUCAAGCCAUCCCCCCAUCUCAGCCUCCUGAGGAGACUUCAGAAAUGAAGAUGCAAAGACAACAGGGGAAACCAUAUAUGUUUAUGGACAGUCAUGCCAAAGUAUGAUUGGAAGACAAAAAGAGACCUGUGAUCUCACUAUGUUGCCUCGGCUGCUCUGAAACUCCUGGCCUCAAGUGAUCCCCCCUGCCUUGGCCUCCACAGUGCUGGAACUAUAGGUAUGAGCCAUUGCACCCAGCCAGGAAAUACAAUUUUCGAAAGACUAAACAAGUUUCUAAAAUCAUGGCACAAUUAAGUAGCAAAAUUAGAAUACAGAGUGGGCUUGUUGGAAAGCGUCAACUAUUAAUCACCAUGCCAUACUUUUGAGGAGCAGACCCCACACUUGUAACCAGGCCCUUCAAUUUAUCAUUCCUGCAAGUCAAGACUUCACCUGUGAACCAGCUGCCCUCUGCCAGCCCAACUUCGUGGAUGUGCAAUCUCUACAGUUGCACAGGGUCCCGUGUUUAGUUUAGUACUUUGCUUUUGCUAUCUUUAAAUACUUAAUAAUUUUUAAACAAGAGAUUCCAUAUUUUUAUUUUGCACUGAGCUUCACAAAUUACAAAGUCAGCGCUAUCCACAGUACCCAAGCUAUAAUUAAUACAAAGCUUUAAAAGCUGCAUGGAGUUUAGCUGAAAUUGCUGCCCAGUCCGAAGCUAAUUUUGGAAGAUGCUGUUCGGUCUUAGGUUAUGAAAAACGGUUCUGCCCUUUUACAACUCCAGCAGGAAGAGCUAAGCUCCCAAUAUUCCGUCCAUUAAUGUCCCUGGUGAGAGUCUUCAAAACUCACGAGCAACAAUGCAAGAAUUUCCCAGCCUUCAACGUGUGACCCACUUCUACAUUAUUGACUCCAAUAAACUGACCAAUUAAAUGUUUUUGUGGUCACAGAACUUGUAAUUAUGUGGUUAAAGAUGUUUCAGAUAUAUCACAUUCUUUCACACUGUGGCAGAAACUAUUGGUUAAAUAACUCAGCCAUGUCUAUCUUCCUUGUCCAAUCUGCACAAAAGAGACUGGAAAAAAGCUGGACACUUGCUUCUUUCCCAUCCUCCUUUGCAGGUAAGCAUCGCUGUGUGACUUAGUUCUGGCCAAUGAGAUGGGAAGGCAGUCUUCUGGGAUGCAAAAAGCUUUUUUCUUUGUUAAUAAAAAGGAGAAUGCCUCUAUAGGAAAAGAUCUUUUUCAAUACCACUCUGUUGCCCAUUUCCUACCUUGAUGUUGUUUGGAGCUACGGCACCCAUCUUGAGAUAAUAAGGUAAAACACAUCACUAGGAAAAACCAACAGCUGAAUUUAGAGUAGACAGGAUGGAAGGGACCUGGUGAUAUUGUGGAGCAAUGAACGAAUGCUGUCGACUGCCUAGUUAACCUAUUACUUGUUUAAAUCUCUGAUAGGCUAUAUUUUUAAAAUUUUGCAACCAGGGUUAUUCUUAGUCUAAGCAUGCAACUUUGAAAAAUGUGAUCCCUUUGACAAGAUAACAAGCCUUCCAUUACCUGCUGCAGGUGACCCAGUUUGCUGGCUGUUGUGGGUAGCUCAGAACAGGACCCUAAGGCACCUUGGCCCUCCCUCUGCUUUAAAACUCAACACCAAACUGUAUUCAUUCUUGUGGUACUGCCUGUGUCUUAACAUGCAUCCCAACAUCUGGCACAGAGCCUGGCACUGGCAACCUCUUAGGAAAUUUGUUAAAUGAACUGAUAGUGUAGCAUUCUGUCACUUUCCUCAGCGAUAAAAUUCUCAUUCUUCAAAAAAUUUUCCUUUUGCAACUGAAUUUAAAAAUGAAAUACCUACCACCUACCACUUCAAGCUUUGCUAGGUGACGGCUUAC
rnacentral:lncRNA from 1 species